AGAAAGUUAGUCUAACCAAGACAGUUGAUUUCGACUCAACAGAUUAUAGUCCCCACCCUAUAACUUUCUU
rnacentral:tRNA from 1 species